rnacentral:rRNA from 1 species
GAUGAACGCUAGCGGAAGGCCUAAUACAUGCAAGUCGAGGGGUAACAGGGGAGCUUGCUCCCGCUGACGACCGGCGAACGGGUGAGUAACGCGUACGUAACCUACCUUCAAGAGUGGGAUAGCCCUGGGAAACUGGGAUUAAUACCUCAUGGCAUCAUAAGAUCACCUGAUCUAAUGAUUAAAGCUGAGGCGCUUGAAGAUGGGCGUGCGUUCUAUUAGAUAGUUGGUGAGGUAACGGCUCACCAAGUCAGCGAUAGAUAGGGGGCGUGAGAGCGUAGUCCCCCACACGGGUACUGAGACACGGACCCG